CCAAGAUUUGUUCCAUUAAGGAACCAUCAUCUUAUUUCUUUCAUUUUUCUCUUCUUGUUGGUAGGCAAAAAAUUAAAGACUUGCUAAUUCGAAGAGAAAAAUUGGAGGAAAGAAAGAAAGAAGAGAUGAAGAAGAAGAAGGAGGAGAGGAGGAAGGGGGAAGGGGGAAGAAGAGGGAGAGAGAAGAAAAAGUCGAGCGAGUCGAUUUUUUUUUUGGUCUGAACUUUUUCCCUAUAUAUAUAUAAGAGUAUAUAGUAUAUUUAUACCUUUGAAAUAUUUUGAAGAGAUAAAAGGUAAGGGUAAUGCACUUUUGAAGAAAAAAAUAAAUUCAAAGUCCACACACGCAGACACUUUUUUUUGUAGUAGGGGGGGUAUUAGUAGUAGUAGUAGUAUUAGUAUUAGGAAUUGGUGGGAAAAUACUCAAUACCCAAUACCCAAUUUUGUGGAAAAGUAAAAACUUUUUGAAGGGAAAAGAGGUAAGGGUAAUGCACAAAUCCUAGUAAAAAAAAUAU
rnacentral:rRNA from 1 species